AGGGAGAGGCAACUUUAUUUCUCCAGCACAUUUCAGCCACAAGGCAAGUCAAAGUGCUUUACAUUAUCAAUUCAUCUUG